GAGAGUUUGAUCCUGGCUCAGGAUGAACGCUGGCGGCGUGCCUAAUACAUGCAAGUCGAGCGAAUGGAUUAAGAGCUUGCUCUUAUGAAGUUAGCGGCGGACGGGUGAGUAACACGUGGGUAACCUGCCCAUAAGACUGGGAUAACUCCGGGAAACCGGGGCUAAUACCGGAUAACAUUUUGAACCGCAUGGUUCGAAAUUGAAAGGUGGCUUCGGCUGCCACUUAUGGAUGGACCCGCGUCGCAUUAGCUAGUUGGUGAGGUAACGGCUCACCAAGGCAAUGAUGCGUAGCCGACCUGAGAGGGUGAUCGGCCACACUGGGACUGAGACACGGCCCAGACUCCUACGGGAGGCAGCAGUAGGGAAUCUUCCGCAAUGGACGAAAGUCUGACGGAGCAACGCCGCGUGAGUGAUGAAGGCUUUCGGGUCGUAAAACUCUGUUGUUAGGGAAGAACAAGUGCUAGUUGAAUAAGCUGGCACCUUGACGGUACCUAACCAGAAAGCCACGGCUAACUACGUGCCAGCAGCCGCGGUAAUACGUAGGUGGCA
rnacentral:rRNA from 1 species